CCCCUGCCUUACUGCUACACCGGGUCUGAAGAAGAUAUAUAGUGUAUUACAGGAUCAUUAUACCAGCAGAAGUCAGCGAUAUUUGAUCCUGCUCUGGUCUGUGUGCUGAGGCCGGAGGGGCUUCAGAAUAAUUAAAUUUUAAAAUAAAACAAUUUUAAACACUUUGAAAAUAAAAUUUUUUAAACAUA